AUAAAAACGUUCGCGUCGUUAUUGUUCCGAUGUGUUAGAAUAUGAACGGAAUUCGUUUACUGUUCCGCGCAACUGUACAUACAUUUAUUGUAACGCACUUUAACUUUAUGAUUCAGCGUGCGUAAUAAUGUUCCAGCGAAUUUCCUUACUUCGAAACAUUUUACUCCUCGUUUUGCACUUUUGAUAUCGAAAUCUAAAAUUUUCGUUUGUGUUUUCGUUCAAAAACUAUAAUCAUUAAUUUCAAUAAUAUUGUUCAAUAUAAAGCCAAAGGCUGGAAGGAGACGAAAUCCAUCCGUCCCGAGAGUUCACAAUCAAGACAGCUUCGAGCGUAUUAUGAUGUAUUCCGGUCGACUCGUCGUUUUGCCAUCUCUAUACCUGUUUUUGUGUAAUUGACCGGGACUGCACGCAAUUUUUAUAAUUAUGUCCACUGUACGAAGGUAGCGGUUUAUCAAAAUAAAAAUAGAGUGGUCAAGGCAAAAGACACCAUGAUAUAUAUCUGUGUAUAUACCUGUGUGUAUACGUUUUUGUCUUCCUUUUUCCGUUGCAAAAAUAACAUGGGCGGCUGAGAAGAAGAUUUUUCCGAUGUGUCUCCGGGAUCACGCCUUAGGAACACGGGCGUAGGGUAAUAUGAAUAUAUUUUGUAUUAUUCUUAUUAUUAUUUAUACUUUGGCCGGUAUUCCCCUUUUUAAUGUGUAGUUGUCUGUAUGUGCACAUAAUUAUAAAAUAAUUUAACAUGCUAAAUUAUUUUAUAAUUAUGAAUUAUUAUUAUUUAUGAUGACAUAACUGAAAAAUGUGAGUCCGUUUUUGAUUACGGCUCCUUACGAAACAAUUAUCAUCAUUAUUAUUAUGAGUAUUAAUUCUCGGUAAAUGUAUUUUGAUUUUAAUUUAUUUUUGUCCAAAUUUUACGCCCGAAUGAGCUUUCUCGGCACCAAGAUAAUAUACAAAUUUAUUUUAUU